UCUGGGUACAAUGUAUGUUAAGCAGGUUCUUAGGAACUUUCCUGCUAUGUAUUGGUUCAUAGGUGUGUGGAUGUACACAGAUUUGAGGAUGAGACAUUAAAGAUGGCACAGACCCUGAAAGGUUUUCUGGAGAUCAGAAGGCCAUGGCAGACUAAGAACUGUAGAGAGAAAGAGAUAUAUAAACGUCAUGAGUGUUCCACCAUUCAAGGAGCUUCCUCUAUUGCUAUCCAAAGCCAGAAUUUGAACUUGGGACUUCCCUAUGGUAAUGUGUUUGCCGGACCAAAUGAGAGCUCUCUCCCAAACCCACUAUCCUGUUUUACUAAUGACAGCAAGAUACACAAAGAUGUUCACUUUGUAGAAUGUUGCAUGACAAUUUUAUAAAAAAUGAACAAAUAAAUAAUAUGAGUAUUUGGCACUCAA